rnacentral:rRNA from 1 species
GACGAACGCUGGCGGCGUGCCUAAUACAUGCAAGUAGAACGCACAGUUUAUACCGUAGCUUGCUACACCAUAGACUGUGAGUUGCGAACGGGUGAGUAACGCGUAGGUAACCUGCCUGGUAGCGGGGGAUAACUAUUGGAAACGAUAGCUAAUACCGCAUAAUAUUAAUUAUUGCAUGAUAAUUAAUUGAAAGGUGCAAUUGCACCACUACCAGAUGGACCUGCGUUGUAUUAGCUAGUAGGUGAGGUAACGGCUCACCUAGGCGACGAUACAUAGCUGACCUGAGAGGGUGAUCGGCCACACUGGGACUGAGACACGGCCCAGACUCCUACGGGAGGCAGCAGUAGGGAAUCUUCGGCAAUGGACGAAAGUCUGACCGAGCAACGCCGCGGGAGUGAAGAAGGUUUUCGGAUCGUAAAGCUCUGUUGUAAGAGAAGAACGGGUGUGAGAGUGGAAAGUUCACACUGUGACGGUAGCUUACCAGAAAGGGACGGCUAACUACGUG